rnacentral:rRNA from 1 species
UACGAGGGGGGCGAGCGUUGUCCGGAAUCAUUGGGCGUAAAGAGCUCGUAGGCGGUUCAGUAAGUCAGGUGUGAAAGCUCCGAGCUCAACUCGGAGAGGCCACCUGAUACUGCUGUGACUAGAAUCCAGUAGGGGAGUGUGGAACUCCUGGUGUAGCGGUGAAAUGCGCAGAUAUCAGGAAGAACACCAGCGGCGAAGGCGGCACUCUGGGCUGGAAUUGACGCUGAGGAGCGAAAGUGUGGGUAGCAAACAGG